CCCAGGCAGCAGGGCCCGGCUUCCUGUCUCAGAGAAAGAAGCUGAGGCUCGGAGAGCUGACUGCCUGGCCCCGGAUCACCCAGCCCGUGCCUCUGCUGCCCUGGAUGGCAGGGCCUGGGCCUCGGGAAGCUGAAGCCGCUUGGAUAUACGGAAUCCGCAAAGCCCAAAGCAGCCUCUGCGUCCUGCUGCGGCGCCUCUGGGCCGCCAGAGCUGGAAGGGACAGCGGCCGUCUGAUGACACCUCUGCGGGGAGCCCUCCUCACGCCCUCCCCCUCCCGCACAGAUGCAGGCUCCAAAAAGCCUAAACUCUGCGCAGAGCCGGGACCACUGCAGUCAACACCACCUAAUUGCUAGCUGACAGCAACUUGGAAUGUUAAGUCCCAUCGAUUUCUUCCUGCCCGCUGGUCCGCAGGGCGGGAGCUUUCAUCUCGGGCCAGGAGGGACAUGUUAGCGCCCAUAAUUACACGUUUUAAGACUUGAAGAAUUCCCCUCGCCCCAGCCUACCUCCUAUGGCCUUUCCUGGCCUCCCCCAAAGCAGAAUUUUAUCUGGAGUUUCAGUAAAGUGGACAAUAACGAUGAUGAAAACGAUUUUAU